rnacentral:rRNA from 1 species
GGCCCUACGGGGCGCAGCAGGCGCGAAAACUUUACAAUGCGGGAAACCGUGAUAAGGGGACACCGAGUGCCAGCAUCMUAUGCUGGCUGUCCGGGUGUGUAAAAUACACCUGUUAGCAAGGGCCGGGCAAGACCGGUGCCAGCCGCCGCGGUAACACCGGCGGCCCGAGUGGUGAUCGUGAUUAUUGGGUCUAAAGGGUCCGUAGCCGGUUUGGUCAGUCCUCCGGGAAAUCUGACAGCUUAACUGUUAGGCUUUCGGAGGAUACUGCCAGACUGAACCG